UUGAACCCAGCAAGCCAAGACAACCCAGUUGAGUUUCCAUUAAGAUCGAUGGAGGAAGUGGAGAAUUUUGAGGAGUGGCUCAAAAAUCAUGCCAAUAAUCAUCUAAAGUCAAGUGAUUUCUUCCCUGGCAACUAUUGGGGGCCAUGACACAAAACGUGUCACAUGGAACAUCCGUUCCCGCAUGUUCCAUGUUGAUGUUGGGAGGAGGAUCAACUGGAAGGGCAUGAAUGGGAAAAAAUCAUUUAAUCAGAUGGAGUCUAAGAAGUUCCUCCUGUGUGCUGUGAGAAAGAGCCAUGUCUCACAUGCCGCAACUGAUGAUGAAAUUACA